rnacentral:rRNA from 1 species
CCUACGGGAGGCAGCAGUGGGGAAUAUUGCACAAUGGGGGAAACCCUGAUGCAGCGACGCCGCGUGAGUGAAGAAGUAAUUAGGUAUGUAAAGCUCUAGCAGCAGGGAAGAAAAUGACGGUACAUGAGUAAGAAGCCCCGGCUAACUACGUGCCAGCAGCCGCGGUAAUACGUAGGGGGCAAGCGUUAGCCGGAUUUACUGGGUGGAAAGGGAGCGUAGACGGCAGUGCAAGUCUGGAGUGAAAGGCGGGGGCUCAACCCCCGGACUGCUCUGGAAACUGUACGGCUGGAGGGCAGGUGAGGUCAGUGGAAUUCCUAGUGUAGCUGUGAACUGCGUAGAUAUUAGGA